rnacentral:rRNA from 1 species
CACGUAGGGGGCGAGCGUUGUCCGGAUUUAUUGGGCGUAAAGAGCUCGUAGGCGGUUCGGCAAGUCGGGCGUGAAAUUUCGAGGCUCAACCUCGAAACGCCACUCGAUACUGCUGUGACUGGAGUCCGGUAGAGGAGUGCGGAAUUCCUGGUGUAGCGGUGAAAUGCGCAGAUAUCAGGAGGAACACCAACGGCGAAGGCAGCACUCUGGGCCGGUACUGACGCUGAGGAGCGAAAGCGUGGGGAGCGAACAGG